CGCGUAGGCUGUUGAGUAAGUCAAAUGUGAAAUCCCCGGGCUUAACCUGGGAACUGCAUUCGAUACUGCUUAACUUUAGAGUAUGGUAGAGGGAAGUGGAAUUCCGGGUGUAGCGGUGAAAUGCGUAGAUAUCCGGAGGAACACCAGUGGCGAAGGCGACUUCCUGGGCCAAUACUGACGCUGAGGUGCGAAAGCGUGGGGAGCAAACA
rnacentral:rRNA from 1 species